CCCAGGGAUCUUUAAUUUAACAACUUUCCAGCUGACUUUUAUGCAUGCUGAAAUUUGAGAACUACUGCAGCUGAGGGCCCCUCAUUUGCAUUUCUAACAAGCCACAGGUGUUGCUGGUGCUGCUGAAAGGCGGACUGGCUUUCGAGUAGCAGCGCUGUGAAAUAUUGUUUCCUGAGUGGACAUUGAGGCCAACACUUCAGAGCUUUGAGGGAUGCAUGCUAAGUUUUUCUCCUCUCCAGAGAUGAAGAAAAUGAGGUUUGGAGAAGUUCGAACAUUUCUGAGAGUACGUCAGAUAAACACAACUCCCAGUCCUCGCAAGCUACGCAGUCCUGACACCUCGAAGGUGGCACACCCUUAGGCCGUAGCACAAAAGGCUUUGUGCAACAUGAUUUAGAAGAUUCCUCUAAACUCAAAAGUAUUAGUCACAACAUAAUUCAAGGAUAAUUAUGAACUGGUGCUUCACCUAAAGUACAAAAGGUUUCAUAAAUAAUCCUCGGAGCAGCCUUGCAACUAACCAUGACUUAGGCCAACUGGAAUGCAGUGCUGAGUGUUUCACAGAUGCCACCAGGAUGGCAAUCCAAUUCCCCAGUGGUCUCUGUGGCAUCCUAAGACAAUCAGUGUACAUCAACGAAACUAUAACUUUUAUUAUUAAUUAAUCUUGCUGCUUCCCACAAUUACUAUUAUGUUAGUUACCAAAUGACAUGAAAAAAUCUCAAUUAAAAAGAAAAAAGAAAACAGUGUGGCCAUUUCAGUACUGAAAUGGUACUGAAAACAAAUUUUUGAGAAUUUAAGAAUCAAGAGAUUGUAGGUAGUAGGUAGACUUAGGUGGCUAUUUUAAGAGUCCAGGCCAGUGAGAAAGGAAAUAUAUUCUAUAUGAGAUGGCAAUAAGUGUUAAGAGAAGAAAGCAAGCAGGAGUGCUGGGGCACAUUGAGUUUAGAGUUUCUGUUUCAUAUGGGAUAGAAAGGGAAGGCUUCCAAAAAAAUGUCAGUAACAGUCAUUCUUCUGUGAUAAUUUACAGAGCUAUCAACUCAUAUUCUGUGCUCUUUUCUGCGUGUGUUUUAUAUUUCAAAAAUGUUUUUAAAAGUUCACUUCUCUGGCCAUGCUGAGGCCGCGUCCCACAUACAGCAACUAGAAGGAUGUGCAGCUAUGACAUACAACUAUCUACUGGGGCUUUGGGGGAAAAAAUAAAUAAAUAAAAUCUUUAAAA